AUGUUUGUUUUUCACAAAAUGUUCCACCCAGGGAAUAAAUAUCUUGUUAUAUGGCUAAAGCAUUGCAUUUGGCAAAAUACAGAGAGCUGCUCUUCUCAUCAAGUGAUGAGAAAGAGAACCCUAUUAUGCUUAUGUAACAUGCAUGUCCGUUUUUCGUUCAGAGCUGAGGGCCGGCGAUGGUCUCUGGCCUCCCUGCCCUCGUCUGGCUAUGGAACCAAUCCACCGAGCUCCACUGUCUCGUCCUCUUCAUCAUCCCAGGAGCGUCUUCAUCAGCUUCCCUACCAGCCAACACAAGAUGAACUGCACUUCCUCUUCAAACACUUCCGCAGCACAGACAGCAUGACAGAUGAGGAUGGACGCCCCUCGCCUGUCAUACGACCUCGGUCCCGCAGCCUCAGCCCUGGGCGUUCAAGUGUCUCCUUCGAUAAUGAGAUAGUCAUGAUGAACCACGUUUACAGAGAGCGUUUUCCAAAGGCCACAGCCCAGAUGGAGGAACGCUUGUUAGAGAUAGUCACCCACUAUUCUCCAGACAGCUCCCUCCCGCUGCCUGACGGGGUACUGGGCUUCAUCCAGCACCAGUUGGUGGAGCUGGUCAGAGACUGUCUGGAUAAGUCUCAGAAAGGUCUGGUUACUUCCCGCUACUUUGCUGAGCUGCAGGAAAAGCUGGAAAAGCUGUUUCAUGAGGCCUACGAGCGCUCUGAAAGCGAGGAGGUAACUGUCAUCACCCAGCUGGUUAGGAAGAUCCUCAUCAUAAUCUCUCGGCCGGCUCGCCUCCUUGAAUGUCUGGAGUUUGACCCGGAAGAGUUUUAUCACCUACUUGAAGCAGCAGAGGGUCAUGCCAAAGUCGGCCAGGGAAUUAAGACGGACAUCCCGCGCUACAUCAUCAGCCAGCUCGGCCUGACGCGGGACCUGAAACUUUUUACUAUUAGGUUUAAAGAUGGUAGGUCUAAUGUAGGUUGCGUGAUGUUCAACAGGGCCGUGUAUCUGGUCCGUCACAAGGAGACUCGUCAGCGAUUUGCCAUGAAAAAGAUAAAUCGUCAGAACCUGGUGCUAAGGAAUCAGAUUCAGCAGGCAUUCGUGGAGCGGGACAUCCUAACCUUUGCUGAGAACCCUUUUGUUGUCUCCAUGUUCUGCUCUUUUGAGACACGGCGUCAUCUUUGCAUGGUCAUGGAGUAUGUAGAAGGUAAACAAAACAUCAUAAAUGUUGAAAUUGCCUUGUCUAUGAUUAGGUUCAUUCUAUCAAUCAAAAGUAUAAUCUUUUUUUGUCUUUUGCCACUUGACAGUUUGCUGAUAACCUCCAUGGGUCACAUCAAGCUGACAGAUUUUGGCCUGUCUAAAAUUGGACUGAUGAACAUGACCACCAACCUGUACGAAGGUCACAUUGAGAAAGACACAAGAGAAUUUGUUGACAAACAGGUAUGUGGCACUCCAGAGUACAUUGCUCCAGAGGUGAUCCUUAGGCAGGGCUAUGGGAAGCCAGUGGACUGGUGGGCAAUGGGGGUCAUUCUUUAUGAGUUUCUGGUUGGCUGUGUUCCAUUUUUUGGAGACACCCCUGAAGAGCUUUUUGGACAAGUUGUUAGUGAUGAAAUAAUUUGGCCAGAAGGAGACGAUGCCCUACCUACUGAUGCACAGGACCUGAUUACUCGUCUGCUGAGGCAGAACCCUUUAGACCGAAUUGGAACAGGUGGAGCCUCAGAGGUGAAGCAGCAUCCUUUCUUCCUGGGUUUAGACUGGAAUGGACUUCUCCGACAGAAAGCAGAGUUCAUCCCUCAGCUGGAGGCGGAGGAUGACACCAGCUAUUUUGACACUCGGUCAGAACGCUACCAUCAUUUGGCAUCUGAUGAGGACGAAGAAACCAAUGAUGAAGAGUCUUCCCUAGAAAUUAGACAGUUUGCUUCCUGGUCACAUCGCUUCAGUAAGGUUUACAGCAGCACAGAACAUCUGGCAACACCUUCCAACUUGAGCUUCUCAUCAGACCGCAGUCACAGUGAGGACAAGGAGGACCGAAUGUUGAGCCCAGAAAUUCUGGACGCAUGGCCAGGUAGCCGUUUGUUGGCAUAUGGAAAAUGGAGCUCUUGUGUUAAAAAAAAUAAACUAAUUUACCCCUCUGUUCGUAGCCUUCGGCCUAGGGCCUCCUCCAGCUCCUCCCAGUCAGAGAGAAGCACCAGUCCUCUAGUGAUGACCAGCACUCACAGUCUGGAGACAAUGCCACGUUUUGCCCUCUCCACUGAUGAUGAAGGUAAAUUCAGACCUGUGGUGGUGUCAAACCUUCGGAGAAUCAGAAUUCGGAGCAACAGCACUGGGGCUAAACACUCAUCCCCUAAGGACCCAGCAGGCCCUCGGCGCUUCGGUAACCAGCUGGAAACACCAGACAGGCAGAGGCUUCCCUGUGGAGGAAAGGUUCCAAAGUCAGCCUCUGUCUCUGCAUUGUCUCUCAUCAUUACUACAGAUGACUCUCCCAGUGGCCUCCAGCCCAGUCCCAUUUCGCCACGUUCACUUUCUUCCAACCCCUCAUCUCGUGACUCGUCCCCUAACCGAGAUCUGUUCUUCAGCCCCGGCAGCCUCAGGCCACCAAUCGUCAUCCACACCUCAGGGAAGAAGUACGGCUUCACCCUGCAGGCCAUCCGGGUCUACAUGGGUGACAGUGAUGUGUACACUGUGCAUCAUAUGGUGUCGAGUGUGGAGGAGGGCAGCCCAGCUCACCAGGCAGGUCUCUGCACUGGAGACCUCAUCACCCACGUGAACGGAGAGUCUGUCCAAGGCCUGGUCCACCCAGAGAUGAUAGAACUGCUACUGAAGAGUGGCAGCAAGGUGGCUCUGCAGACCAUAGCACUGGAGAACACGUCAAUCAAAGUUGGCCCAGCUCGAAAAACCAAACACAAAGGCAAGAUGGCACGUCGCAGCAAGAAGAGCAAGAGGAGAGAUAAUUACGACAGGCGACGGAGUAUCUUAAAGAAGUUAUCCAAGCAGAGUACAGUGAUGCACAGCAGUCGCAGCUUCUCCUCAGGCCUCCAUCACUCAGUUUCCUCCAGUGAGAGUCUUCCAGGCUCCCCGACACACAGCCUCUCCCCUGGUCCUUCCACACCCUGUCGGAGCCCUGCACCUGACCAUCAGGGCUACAACACUCCUUGCUCUCCUCAGAGCACAUCUCCUUGCUCCAGCUCUCCUAGCUCCCCUGCUGCACACAUCCGGCCCAGCUCGCUCCAUGGCCUGGGAUCCAAACUCAGCACGCAACGCUACACCAAGGUUGGCCGUCGGAAGUCGACCAGUAACAUCCCUCCAUCCCCGUUGGCCUGCAACUCCUCCUCAUCUUCUAACCAGCCUCUUUCCCCAGCCUGGCAGCCAGGCAGUGGGGAGCGCUCACCGUCCCCACUUCCAGGCUUUGCCAAAACUCUUCACACCUUCCAUGGCAAAACCCUGUCACCACCCACCAUUGUUAGACAUGUUGUUCGGCCCCGCAGUGCUGAACCACCCCGGUCUCCACUGCUCAAGAGGGUGCAGUCAGCUGAGAAGCUGUCUGGAGUUUAUCAUGUUGACAAGAAGUCAUACGCUCCCCGCAGACACACACUGGAAGUGCCCUUUUACUGUGAAGGUGACCUGCUGGGUGACUCCGAGGUAGAGGGGGCUUUUGGGUGCUCCUACAUUGGGGCUGACCACACCAGACUGGGGUGCUACAUAAGCAGUCAAAGGAUAGAACGGUCAGAGCAGCUAGUUGUGAUGCGGAAGCUCAACCUAUCAGAGCGGCGAGACUCCUUUAAGAAGCAAGAGGCAGUGCAGGAGGUGAGCUUUGAUGAGCCAGAGGAGAAAAAUGGCACCACAGUGACCACCGCAGCCCCAGGAGCCCAAACACAGUGUCAGCAGCAGCACAGGAUAGCCUGGAUGGCCACUCGACCCCAGAGCAGCCAGGAGGUGGAGCUGGAAGUCCCGGUGGUGAGGAGGUUUACAUUGGUGCCCCAAAUCGCCGUGCAGGGCUCAACAGAAAGUGAGGAGCAGGAUGAGUGGGAGCCAUGCUCAGAUGGAGAGGAAUCCACUGAUAGGCCUGAGCUGGAGGUGAGCAUCACUUCAAUUCAGCAGCAGCAAACAGGACAUCCUCUUGCUGACAGCAGCUGCAGUGAGGCAGAAACCACUUCCUCUGGUCCUGCACCAGCAUCAGAGAAACCUGAGUGCAGAGAGGAAAUGCCCCAAAAAGGGCCUUUGAGAAAAUGA
ensembl:lncRNA microtubule associated serine/threonine kinase 3